GGCCGGAUCAGCCUGAAGGCGCCCGAUCUCGUCUGAUCUCGGAAGCUAAGCAGGGUCGGGCCUGGUUAGUAUCUUGGAUGGGAGACCACCUGGGAAUCCCGGGUGCUCGAGGCU
rnacentral:rRNA from 1 species